CGAAAUAUUGUACUCACCUGGUAAAUCCACUUUGUAUGCAUUGUCAUUGAUCCUCUCGAUGAUUUGAAACGGUCCAUCGCCUCGUGGUUGCAAUUUUAACUUCCUCUGUUCUGGAAAAUGCUCUUUUCUGAAAUGCACCCAGACCCAAUCUCGAGGCUCAAAUGUAACGCGUCUUCUUCCUUUAUUUGUUUUUUAUGCAAUCAGCUUUCC
rnacentral:lncRNA from 1 species